CCUACGGGUGGCUGCAGUGGGGAAUUUUGGACAAUGGGCGCAAGCCUGAUCCAGCCAUGCCGCGUGCGGGAAGAAGGCCUUCGGGUUGUAAACCGCUUUUGUCAGGGAAGAAAUCUUCUGGGCUAAUACCUCGGGAGGAUGACGGUACCUGAAGAAUAAGCACCGGCUAACUACGUGCCAGCAGCCGCGGUAAUACGUAGGGUGCAAGCGUUAAUCGGAAUUACUGGGCGUAAAGCGUGCGCAGGCGGUUUUGUAAGACAGAGGUGAAAUCCCCGGGCUCAACCUGGGAACUGCCUUUGUGACUGCAAGGCUUGAGUGCGGCAGAGGGGGAUGGAAUUCCGCGUGUAGCAGUGAAAUGCGUAGAUAUGCGGAGGAACACCGAUGGCGAAGGCAAUCCCCUGGGCCUGCACUGACGCUCAUGCACGAAAGCGUGGGGAGCAAACAGGAUUAGAUACCCGAGUAGUC
rnacentral:rRNA from 1 species